rnacentral:lncRNA from 1 species
AGAGACGCACGGCACUGACUCUACGGCCGUGGCGAGCAGCCCCUUCCCGGGGUCUCUCAGACGUAUGCCAGCUCCGGGGGCUGCGGGGACGCGGCUGGCCAGGUGUGCCCUGGCGCCAGCCGCUUGCCCAUCCGCCAGACUCACCUGUGUGUAACCUGACCCGUUGUGCGCCUAGCCCACAGGGCGGGAGAAUGAUCGCAGCGGUUUUUCCCCGUCCUCUUCCGCCCCAGCAUGGCCCUUGGGGACACAGCAGCCUGGUAACGGAUUUCUCAGUUUGGCUGGAAUACACUCUCCGCGCUCGGAGGGUGUAGAAGAGCCCGAUCUCCGGGUCUCCCCUCGAGGGGUCACCCUCUCUGGGCUCUUCCCUCUUUGGACUCCAGAUUUUCUCUGAGAUCACCCAACGAAGAAGGAAAAAGCCUUUGAGCCAGGUGAGCCGGGGGCGGAGGAGGAAGACAUUUCUACAGCGGCACAAGAAAACCAGGCUUCUUUCUCUGCUGUGAGGCUGAUGGCGCAGCUUCUGGGAGACUCUGUGAAUGUAUUUUUAUCUACCAACAAACUGGAGCCUUGCUAGAAAGAAGGAGCUUGGUUGAAUGAAAGUAAAAAUAGAGUAAAACUGUGAAAUCACGGAAGUUUGCCCCAUCUCAUAAAAAUCUUAAAAACUUCAUUUACAAAAAAGAUCCUGUUAACAGAGCUUUUUUCCCCUUCUCCUUUCCCUGGAUUUCAAAUCGCAGAGUGCGUGAAGCACUUUGUCCAUUAUUUGAAAAUAGUAUAUAGAACGAUAGAAUCUAAGCCUAGAAACCUCAAAAUGCAACACAACGUUCUGAAGAUUGGUAGUGAAAAUAACAGGUAUAAUUACAUUUUUUUUUCCAAUUGAUUGUUGGAUGCACGCCUAUUCUGGUAUUUCUGGGUGUUUCUUUGGCGGAGAGGAAUUGCAAUGUGUUAUUUAUUUAUUUAUUUAUUUAUUUGGCGGUCAGACUUGAGAUGGUUGUAUCGACAUUAUUAGUAUUUUUGAAGAAACCGUUUUGCCUUGUUGACUUUUCUCUAUUGUAAGGUCAGUUUUCUAAGUUUUUUUUGUUGUUGUUCUUUUUCAGAUUCUUUUCCCAUAUAGAUUAUCACAGAAUAUUGGGUAGAGUUCCCAGUGCUAUACAGCAGGUCUGGUUGGCCACUCAUUCCGUAUACUGCAGUGUGCAUAUGCAGUUUUGUAAGUAUUGUGAAAGGUACUGUAGAUCAUCUCCUAAAAGUAGGAUAAGAAAUGAAAAAGAUGGAGUUCCCGUCGUGGCGCAGUGGUUAACGAAUCCGACUAGGAACCAUGAGGUUGCGGGUUCGGUCCCUGCCCUUGCUCAGUGGGUUAACGAUCCGGCGUUGCCGUGAGCUGUGGUGUAGGUUGCAGACGCGGCUCGGAUCCUGAGUUGCUGUGGCUCUGGCGUAGGCCAGUGGCUACAGCUCCGAUUAGACCCCUAGCCUGGGAAACUCCAUAUGGCGUGGGAGCGGCCCAAGAAAUAGCAA